GUUCGCUAUGUCUCGCUUUUGCGACAAAAAACGCAGGCUCGACGAAAAGGAAAAGAAUGUCAACAUUGAAAGUAAAACAAAAGAGAUGGACCAUUUAGUUGACUUUGUCAAUCCACAAAAAGAUCAUUUUAUACAGGAAGAAACGAUGAUAAAAUUUUGUUGGAGGUAUAUAAGCUUAAGUUUGGAGGUCUUGAAGAACUCAUAAAAACACGGAAAUAUGAAAAUGUGACCGCCAUCAAUUUGUAUAAAUUUGUUUGUGAAGAAUGUCAGCUUCAUCGCAAAUGUCUGACAAAAGAAGUCGUAGUUAAACCUAUUUUGUAAAAGGAAUUUAACUCAUGUUAUUGGCCAAGUUGAUAUGCAGAGUAUGCCUGAUGGAGAUUUUAAUAUAACAAAAUUAUGAGAUUUUAAGAAUUAUCAAGAUCAUUUAACCAAGUUUGCCAUAAUCUAAUGUCUAUCUUAAAAAAUAGCUGGCUAAAUU
rnacentral:lncRNA from 1 species